GACGUAGGGGGCCAGCGUUGUUCGGAAUUACUGGGUGUAAAGGGUUCGUAGGCGGUGUGGCAAGUCGGGUGUGAAAUCUCUGGGCUCAACCCAGAGUCUGCUUCCGAAACUGCUGUGCUUGAGUGUGGGAGAGGCGCGUGGAAUUGCAGGUGUAGCGGUGAAAUGCGUAGAUAUCUGCAGGAACACCCGUGGCGAAAGCGGCGCGCUGGACCACUACUGACGCUGAGGAACGAAAGCUAGGGGAGCAAACAGG
rnacentral:rRNA from 1 species